rnacentral:rRNA from 1 species
CAGUAGCCGCGGGAAUACAGAGGGUGCAAGCGUUAAUCGGAAUUACUGGGCGUAAAGCGCGCGUAGGUGGUUUGUUAAGUUGGAUGUGAAAUCCCCGGGCUCAACCUGGGAACUGCAUCCAAAACUGGCAAGCUAGAGUAUGGUAGAGGGUGGUGGAAUUUCCUGUGUAGCGGUGAAAUGCGUAGAUAUAGGAAGGAACACCAGUGGCGAAGGCGACCACCUGGACUGAUACUGACACUGAGGUGCGAAAGCGUGGGGAGCAAACAGGAUUAGAUACCCGAGUAGUCCCUGUCUCUUAUAA